rnacentral:lncRNA from 1 species
AUAACAGCAAGAUGGAGAAAUUGCACUGCAGAGAAAUCUUUAAAAGCAAUUACCUAAUACUGCAGAUUGCUGAACUGUACCCACACCCAAGACUGAGCAUUGGAUCAAUCCAGAAUAUACAUCAGGUGUUCUGCAAUGUCUGCCUAAAACCAUGACUCUGCCUCCUCCAGCUGUUGCUACAUCUCACUAUGGGUUUCCUGUGACAUUUUGAGCAAGUAUG